rnacentral:rRNA from 1 species
GACAGAGGGUGCAAACGUUGCUCGGAAUACUGGGCGUAAAGCGCGUGUAGGUGGUCACGCAAGUCAGGUGUGAAAGCCCAGGGCUCAACCCUGGAAGUGCACAUGAUACUACGUGGCUGGAGUACUGAAGAGGAGAGCGGAAUUCCCGGUGUAGAGGUGAAAUUCGUAGAUAUCGGGAGGAACACCAGUGGCGAAGGCGGCUCUCUGGGCAGAUACUGACACUGAGACGCGAAAGCGUGGGUAGCAAACAGG